ACAGAAAGAGUUGAACCGUUACAUACCCACAGCUGCAGCAUUUGGAGGAAUGUGCAUUGGUGCACUGACCGUGUUGGCUGAUUUCAUGGGAGCAAUCGGUUCUGGAACCGGAAUUUUACUUGCAGUGACAAUUAUUUAUCAGUACUUCGAGACCUUCGAGAAGGAGAAAGUCAGCGAACUGGGUCUGUUUGGUUUCUAAACUUUUUCAUUCAGUUUAAUUUAUACUUUGGUGGUGCCAAAGAGCUCCCUGUCAAUUUUGGUGCCUAGGGAUUUUCACAAGUCUUAUUGUUAACAAAUCUUAAGAUCUAAAGUCCAAGAACCAGGUAUAACUCUAGCUUUCUUUCACUGUAAGAGCACAGAUAAUAUCAUCUUGAGACUCUGAAUCUCCACGCCUUCUCUUUUGUGCUUCUACUUCCGUCUUCAUUUUUUUUCCCGCAACAACAAUACCGUAGGUUUAACAGAAAAAAGAACGAGCCGAGUUUAUAUGUUAGCUAGGUUAUUG
rnacentral:misc_RNA from 1 species